rnacentral:rRNA from 1 species
GACGAGGGAUCCUAGCGUUGUUCGGAAUUACUGGGCGUAAAGCGCGUGUAGGCGGCUAAGUAAGUCGGGCGUGAAAUCCCACGGCUCAACCGUGGAAGUGCACUCGAAACUGCAUAGCUAGAGUCCUGGAGAGGAAGGUGGAAUGCUUGGUGUAGAGGUGAAAUUCGUAGAUAUCAAGCGGAACACCGGUGGCGAAGGCGGCCUUCUGGACAGUGACUGACGCUGAGACGCGAAAGCGUGGGGAGCAAACAGG